GUAGGGAAUAUUGGACAAUGGGGGCAACCCUGAUCCAGCGACGCCGCGUGAGUGACGAAGGCCUUCGGGUCGUAAAGCUCUGUUGCAAGGGAAAAACAAAAUGAUGGUACCUUGCUAGAAAGGAUCGGCUAACUUCGUGCCAGCAGCCGCGGUAAGACGAGGGAUCCUAGCGUUGUUCGGAAUUAUUGGGCGUAAAGCGGGUGUAGGUGGCUUUGUAAGUCAGGUGUGAAAGCCUGGGGCUUAACCCCAGAAGUGCAUUUGAUACUGCGAAGCUUGAGUGCUGGAGAGGCUACUAGAAUUCUUGGUGUAGUGGUGAAAUACGUAGAUAUCAAGAGGAAUACCGGAGGCGAAGGCGGGUAGCUGGCCAGACACUGACGCUCAGACCCGAAAGCGUGGGGAUCAAACAGGAUUAGAAACCCGUGUAGUCC
rnacentral:rRNA from 1 species